CUCUGAUUCACUGCUUUGCUUUCACUAACGGAGCUCCCUCUCUUCAUUCACUCUAUAGAUUGCAUUUUUCAUCAUUUUAAAUAAAGUAAAUUAUGGUUACAUUUAAUUUCUUAACAACAUUCCACCAGGAGCUACAGAACACGUCUGAACUCCAUUCACA